rnacentral:miRNA from 1 species
ACUGAGGUCUGGGUGCAGCUGA